AAAAAAAAAAAGGAGAAAGGCUAUGUAAAGGGCCAUUUAUAUAAGAAAUAGCUGCAUAUUAUUUUUCUAUAAUUCUGAUAUAUAGUUAAAAAGGAAAGGAGAGAAGGAGCGGAGAAAUGUCUAAAUAUGGAGAAUUCCUGGACGCUGUUAAACGUGACGAUGUUAAUUCGGUGAGCAAGUUCCUCUCAAUCUAUCCAGAUUUCUUUGACGUUUCUUCCACGACAUGGCAAGAGAACCCUCUCCAGGUUGCCUGCAACCAUGGCAGCCACCGAGUCGCUAAGGUAAUUGGCAAAUGGUACCCUCAAUUUGCAAGAUUCAAAAAUCGGGAAGGUUGUACUGCCUUGCACUUUGCUUCUUCUAAGGGGGAUCUUCCAAUUGUAAAUGUCUUGCUAGAGAUUGAUUCUGAAGUCUGCCUCAAGAAAAACAAGUCAUCCAUGAAUCCUCUCCACAUAGCUAUCAGGAAUGGGCAUGACGAGGUGAUAGGUGCAUUGAUCGCUGCUUGUCCACAAUCUAUUGGAACGGUGACCUCCCAGAGAGAGACAGUGCUUCUUCUGGCUGCAAAACAUUUCCGGCUCAAUGCUUUUGUAUUCUUGCUGAAGGAGAUUCAGAACCGGGAACAAGACCAUCUACUGCACAGGAAAGACCGAGAGGGAAACAACGUUUUGCAUAUUGCAGUUUCCAAUAAAUUUGUUGAGGUAACUCUCUGUCUCUCUGGCUCUCUCACGCAAUAGUUUAAAUUGAUAGAGGUUUCGCUUGUGUUGCCUCUGCCUUGAGUACUUUUUGCUGGCAAAUUCUACAGAUUGUGAAGUUGUUGCUUCCUCUGAACUCUACAAGUAGAGCUUUGGUGCGAGUGAACUCCUUGAACAAGAAGGGACUGACAGCCCUGGAUCUGUGCUACCAAAGUUGCGGGAAUAUUACUACACAGGACAUUGGCCGCAUCCUGCGUGAAGCCGGUGCCCUUGAAGGACGGUCAUUGCCUGUGGGAGCACACGUAAUAAAGGAAACCAUAGAAACCAAGAAUGUCAUAUUGGUGGUCCUGGGAGUUGUUACUGGUGCCGCCUUCACCACAGUUUGUAACCUCCCCAGUCCUUUUCUCAAAGAUCACCAUGCAGAAGGUAGAGUAUUUCAUAGUGGAGAUAUGGUAGCCGGUCAGCUGCCGCCCAUAUUCUACCUUAUGGUAUUCAAUACGGCCAUUCUUCUCGUUUGUAUGUGUGGAAUUGCAGUACUCUUGUGGUCGCUCCCUUUUAGACCAGUUGUGCUCUUUGUGACCAUCACUAUCGGGAUUGUUUAUGCUCUGUUGGUGAGUAAUAUUGUGCCAAAAUUCUUGUUCAGAGCAGGCACUCACAGCAUUUUGAGUAGUCAUUUGGUGGGGUUAUUGGCUAUUGUCUUCAUUUGUUGUGGAGCUAUUACAUACUUUACUUUUUUCUAUCUCUGCCUAAUUAUUAAGUGGGUGAUCAAAAAAACCGUGCAGUCCUACAGGUUGGGUGCUCGAAUCUUCUCUCGCAACAAAGGGCUGCCGUACUAAGAGAGCAUGUACUACACACCAAUCAGCCUAGAAUGGAUCUCCUUCUCAUGACAAAUGAGUCGUACAAAACAUAACCCAGACUAACACAUGCAGAUACCCUUCAGGUCGCCAAUCCAUGGAAUUCUCUCUCUAAUAUCUCCCUCAUAUAGUAUCACUGUGAUUCUGUUAAGACAAUUAAGUUCCUGGCAUACAUAUCUUGCCAUUGCCUGGACAGCCCGUAAUGCAGUAGCAUCUGGCUCUGAUGUCCCAUCAUCAGAAAAGACAUUUCUCCAUACCACCUUCUCUAGCUCAUCAGAUUUAGCCUCUGGAAGCAUGGCAGCAUCAUAAGCAACAAUAUUUCCAUAGAAUAUCUUCUCCAAUUCUUUCAUCCAUUUAGUCAACAAUAAGUUAACCUGCCAAUUCAGAACACGUAUAGGACAAACACUUGGACAAUUCUAUCAACUACAUGUAUUUAUAUCGUUCUCCACAGGCCAGCAAAGCUCAACCUUUUGCAGAUCAUCCCAUAAUGUAGUUUCUACAAUACGAUCCUUAAAACUGAAAGCCUAGCUAAGAAAUGGGAAAUAUUAAUUGUUAACUGGAAGGGCAUUCUGAAUAUGGCACACAGAUAGUUCACAAAAUGAAAUGAUAAUGCUAUGGUCUCAACUGUCAGUUAGGAGUUCAAUGAAAAAUAGAUUAAAAAAAAGAUUGUAUCAUCCCGAAUAAUUUCAUAUGGUUUUCAAAGCAUACAAAAAGAUGGAAGAAUGGCUGUGAGCACUUGUAAUGACCUGAUGGAUAUGAAACAAAUCAGAAGCUGGACAGUCAGCUCAGUUGUAAUUUAUGCAUGCUACAGGUCCCAUAAGAUAGACAAGGAAAGUUCAUUUUGAUAAGCAAAAAUAAAGAACUAAAAGAUACCAUGAAAUGCAAUAAAAUCCUCAAAGAAAACAUGGUAAAGAUAAAAGUUGUAAGCACAUUACCCCUGCUUUAGAUACUCUUAGCUCCACAUCAUGAUUAUAAAUAUCAUACAGGUACUGCCCAAAUUCAACGCCCUCCUUUCCCUCCUGUUUCAGACGGCGUAAGCAAAGCCACAUAUGGAGUACAAGCAAUGAGAAUGUCAUUUUAAAUGUCUUCUCCAAAUUGAAUACUUCAUAAAUGGUAGGCUUAUCUACUUGUGAAAUGAUGCGCCGGUACACCACAUUUGCCCCCCUAAUCGAUUUGCUUUGUUUGCUAUAAAACAUCAAGAGCUUAAGAAUAAAAUGCCGAAUGCCCUCAUAUUUUGGCUCUUCAAUUCUCAGUGGGGAAUCGGAGGCCAAAGCCAAAGAACAGGGCUUAGACCAAAACAUUUUAUCCAAAUUUACCGGUGAUUUACUAGGAAAACCCUUGUGCAUAGAAUCAUUAGGAGAAGGCGGGACAGCAGCUGCUGCAGAAGCCUUGGCAUAGGUUAGGCGUGGAAUAAAAAGAAGAUCUUUUCUGAGUUCCCCCAUGUUGCUUAGAGACCCAAGCUUCGACAUUUGAGAAGCAGCUUUGCUCCAUCUGGAAAACAUUUGCUAGAAAAAUGAAUGUUCAAGCACUGAACGAAAGCAGUUGCUCCUCUUUGGCAAUGGUUUAUAGUGCGUCUUCUUCUGCCUUCCCUUUUUGCUGCUCCCAGUUGCUACUGGUUAAACCUUUGAAGCAUAAGAGGGAACCGUGAGGGUCGAUCCUAUUGGCUAAACCCUACGAGGAUUUGAUGCAAGCGUCAACUGGGCCAUUUUCAGCAUCCCUUAUUCUCA
rnacentral:misc_RNA from 1 species